CUGAUGCUCUGUCACUGCGCUGUCACCCCUAACCAAAAUACUUUAUUUUUAAAGCUACAUGAAUGGCGCUUGGACUUUCAGGCCAUGUAUAAGACAAGCACAUUUAAUUUUUUUUUUAAUUUAUUAUAUUUAUUUUCCCUUUUGUUGCCCUUGUUUUUUAUUGUUGUUGUGGUUAUUGUUGUUGUGGUUAUUGAUGCUGUUGUUGGAUAGGACAGAGAGAAAUAGAGAGGAGCAGAAGACAGAGAGGGGGAGAGAAAGACAGACACCUGCAGACCUGCUUCACUGCCUGUGAAGUGACUCCCCUGCAGGUGGGGAGCCGGGGCGGUCCUUGCGCUUCACACCAUGUGCACUUAACCCACUGAGCUACCGCCCGACUCCCACAUGUAUUCUUCUUUAAAUUUUUAAAAAAUUUCUUUAUUGGGGGAUUAAUGGUUUACAGUCAGCAAUAAAUACAGUUGUUGGCACGUGUAAAAUUUCUGUUUUCUACAAAACACAAAUUCAUGUAUCUUCACCACCACCACCCCCAAUCAAAGUCUAUUUUUGGUCUUUUGAUUCCCAAUAGCUAGCUAGACAUUAGCAGAAUUACAGAAACCAAUUCAAUCCAACAAAUAGUUUUGAGCACCUAUUAAGGGUCUCCCUGUAUUAAGACACAGUUUCUGCCCUCAGGGAGUUCCUUCAGUUCAGAGUUGUUCAAAUCUGGAUGUCACACGCAUGAGUCGCAGUCAUAAAUAUCUCAGAGUGUUUUCACUAGCUGUAUUACAAUCUGUCACUACUAAGGAUUUCUAUCUGUGGCAAAGUCACAGGUACUGCUAAUUCUACUAAAGUUCCUUGUCUGCAUUCAUAAUGGACAAAAAAUGCUAAUUUUCUAUUAGUAAUAAAAGAAAAUAAAGAUUUUUUUCACUCAAGUUUUUCAGGUCCCCUAAAUUAUGCAGAAACUGGAACAGCUAAGUCCUUCAGUGACCCAACACCACCACCUCUUCAGGAACACCUGCUUUGAUUGCCCGAUCUAACGUCACUGUCUGUCUUCGCAGCACUGAUCACAACCUGCUAUUAGGUCACCUACAUGUACCAUGUAUUUUGUGUAAGGUUUGGGCAACACAGACCUGCUGACUUCUACACAGACACCAGCAGACAAACCCUCAGCGUGGACUCGAGGGAGCCUGCUCUAUAUUUUAACCCUUCUUGACCGCCUCAAAUAUCCUUAUGCCUGAUUAGCAUAUGCUUGCAAGCUAAUUCUGCCUGAGUUGGAUCCUGUGUUUAUUUUGCAAAGAGUUGAGCUUCUACUGGAUGCUAGAUGUAAAACUCUAGUGACAAUGCAAAAACAGACAAGACAGACCUGGCCCAUGUCUUCAAGAAGUUUAGAGUCGAAUCUACUGACAGGACAUUUUUGAGUUCAGGGUAGUCAAUGAGCUGAUGACAGAAUCAGGCUGGAGUCUGAGGAGCAAUCUAGGGCAGUAAUGAGGACAGAACCAGGCAUUCAAGAAGAAACACUCCGGGGUACAAGGUCUCAAAGUCAUAUUUCAGCUGGUAAGAAAAGGACUACAGAUGCUAUAAGUCAAGCUGGAAGGUGUGGUCUCUGCCCAUCCCCCAAUGCUUGUCCAGGCCCGGGAGUUUUAUGCUCAACAAACUGAUAAAUUUUAAAAAUAAUGGCAUGAGAUCAUCUAACCAGCUCAGCUCUCGCUUAGUGAAACAGAAAUCCAUGACUUUUCUGACAAAGACCAAG